CCUACGGGAGGCAGCAGUAAGGAAUCUUCCACAAUGGACGAAAGUCUGAUGGAGCAACGCCGCGUGCAGGAUGAAGGCUUUCGGGUCGUAAACUGCUUUUAUAUGGGAAGAUUAUGACGGUACCAUAUGAAUAAGGACCGGCUAACUACGUGCCAGCAGCCGCGGUAAUACGUAGGGUCCAAGCGAUAUCCGGAAUUACUGGGCGUAAAGCGUGUGUAGGUGGAUUAAUAAGUGUGAUGCGAAAUCCGGCGGCUCAACCGUUUGGACUGUGUCGCAUACUGUUAGUCUAGAGGACGGCAGAGGUGAGUGGAAUUACGGGUGUAGCAGUGAAAUGCGUAGAUAUCCGUAGGAACACCAAUGGCGAAGGCAGCUUACUGGGCCACACCUGACACUGAGACACGAAAGCGUGGGGAGCGAACAGGAUUAGAUACCCUGGUAGUCCACGCCGUAAACGAUGCAUACUAUUAGUAUGGGGUAUCGACCCCCUGUGCUGAGAAGCUAACGCGAUAAGUAUGCCGCCUGGGGAGUACGAGCGCAAGCUUAAAACUCAAAGGAAUUGACGG
rnacentral:rRNA from 1 species